rnacentral:rRNA from 1 species
UACAGAGGGGGCAAGCGUUGUUCGGAAUUACUGGGCGUAAAGGGCGCGUAGGCGGCCUUCUAAGUCGAACGUGAAAUCCCUGGGCUCAACCCAGGAACUGCGUCCGAUACUGGAUGGCUUGAAUCCGGGAGAGGGAUGCAGAAUUCCAGGUGUAGCGGUGAAAUGACGUAGAUAUCUGGAGGAAUACCGGUGGCGAAGGCGGCAUCCUGGACCGGCAUUGACGCUGAGGAGCGAAAGCCAGGGGAGCAAAGCGGG